UACGGAGGAUGCAAGCGUUAUCCGGAUUCAUUGGGUUUAAAGGGUGCGUAGGCGGACUAUUAAGUCAGUGGUGAAAGCCUGCAGCUUAACUGCAGAACUGCCAUUGAUACUGAUAGUCUUGAGUUUGGUUAAGGUAGGCGGAAUGUGUAAUGUAGCGGUGGAAUGCUUAGAUAUUACACAGAACACCAAUUGCGUAGGCAGCUUACUGAGCCGACACUGACGCUGAGGCACGAAAGCGUGGGGAUCGAACA
rnacentral:rRNA from 1 species